rnacentral:siRNA from 1 species
AGAAGCCGAGAAAUUAUCAACCU